AGUGAGCGCUGGCGGUAGGCCUAACACAUGCAAGUCGAACGGCAGCACAGUAAGAGCUUGCUCUUACGGGUGGCGAGUGGCGGACGGGUGAGGAAUACAUCGGAAUCUACUUUUUCGUGGGGGAUAACGUAGGGAAACUUACGCUAAUACCGCAUACGACCUACGGGUGAAAGCAGGGGAUCUUCGGACCUUGCGCGAUUGAAUGAGCCGAUGUCGGAUUAGCUAGUUGGCGGGGUAAAGGCCCACCAAGGCGACGAUCCGUAGCUGGUCUGAGAGGAUGAUCCGCCACACUGGAACUGAGGCACGUUCCAGACUCCUACGGGAGGCAGCAGUGGGGAAUAUUGGACAAUGGGCGCAAGCCUGAUCCAGCCAUACUGCGUGGGUGAAGAAGGCCUUCGGGUUGUAAAGCCCUUUUGUUGGGAAAGAAAAGCAGCAGGUUAAUACCCCGCUGUUCUGACGGUACCCAAAGAAUAAGCACCGGCUAACUUCGUG
rnacentral:rRNA from 1 species